GAUGAAGAACGUAGCGAAAUGCGAUACGUAAUGUGAAUUGCAAAUUCAGUGAAUCAUCGAAUCUUUGAACGCACAUUGCGCCCCUCGGUAUUCCGUGGGGCACGCCUGUUCGAGCGUCAUUUACACCCUCAAGCGCAGCUUGGUGUUGGGCGUCUGUCCCGCUCUCCGUAGCGCGGACUCGCCUCAAAGUCAUUGGCGGCGGUCGUGCCGGCUCCUCGCGCAGCACAUUUGCGCUUCUCGGAGGCCCGGCGGAUCGGCAUCCAGCAAGCUACUUUUUAUGACUUGACCUCGGAUCAGGUGAGGAUACCCGCUGAACUUAAGCAUAUCAAUAAGCGGAGGA
rnacentral:misc_RNA from 1 species